UGCCAUAAUCCAUCUUAGCAGCUCACAAC
rnacentral:piRNA from 1 species